CAGCCUUGGUGCAGGGGAGAGGUGGAAGCCUCACCUCAACGAUGCUGUCGUUCGUCUUGUCAUGGGCCUAGAGUUUAUCCUGUCUGGGUGUACCUGGGAAGGUUCAGUCAGGUUGAAUUGGAAGUGCCUGUGAGUCAUCUACAGAAUUGGAAGUACCUGUGAGUCAUCUACAUGGAGAUGUCAAAUAGGCUGUUGGAAGGUUGGCCCUGGGACCCAGAAAACGAACAAGGAGGAGGAGCCUCUUCUGGAGUCACAAGAGGUGAGCCAGAGUAGUGGGAGGAAACCCAGGAAGGGGGUGGAGGGCAGGUCAGUUUGGACUGGAUUUAGUUUUGGUGUUGUGACAGGAUCCAGACUAGAGUGGAAGCAAGUGACGGCCGGUUAUGUUUAGACUUCUCUAUCCACCCAAGAAGAACCCAUUCUCAUGCCCCAGACAAAGGGAAGUGUCUUCGGAAUCACUCGGAAACGCCAAUCACACUGAUCCAAUUGGGUGCUUCACAAUGUAGGAACUAGCCUGGAGAGACAACUCAGUGAGAUUUUAUGGGUUUUUUGUUUGUUUGUUUGUUUUUUUGAUAAGGAGUCUCGCUCUGUCGCCCAGGCUGGUGUGCAGUGGCGCAAUCUCGGC
rnacentral:lncRNA from 10 species